GAAUGUUGCACCACCCAAGGUUGUGCGCGCCCCCUCUCUUCUUAUCUCCUCUCUCUCUCACGCACGCACGCGCGAGAGCCGACAACAUCAAUGGCGCGCGUACCCCCCACCACCACCACCACCCCACGCUUCAUGCGGCCACUGCCGGAGCAGUUGCACUGCCUGCCUGCACGCUCGAUAGCUGCGGCUACUGGGAGAGGGCCGUCUUCCGAGGGAGACUUGCACAAAGACUACGGUUGCCAGCUCUGAGACGCAAAAUAAGAUUUGAUGGUGCCAGAAGGAGGCGAAGCUGGAGCCGUAGGGAAGAAGAAGAAGACGAAGAUCGAGACUCAACGCUGCCCAUGGAACUUGAAAAAGAAAUGAAGACGGAAACGUUGGAACAUCUCCGGAGAAUGCCGACAACUCGGACCGCGCCACUUCUACGGCGACUCGAUCUUUUGAAGUUUUUCGGAGAGGAUUUUUUUUGACGUGCCUGCGUCUGUGUGUGGAGCCUUUGCAGAAAGCUGAUGCGUUAGAAAAAAUAUAAAUAUCUUAAACCCCGCCCUGAGGUUGGCGUUAUUUCCGUGUGUCGGCUUGUGAUCGCAAUCGGACAAGACAGCAAAGCAAUAAUGUAUGGCUUCUUACACUGUACAUACCGGUGUAUUAUUCAGCCCUUGUAUGUGGGUAUAUAUAUAUACUGUAUUCGAAAUAACGAUACUAUGUAAUUUAUCUUUUUGUGAUCCACAGAUCGCCGGUUCAAUCUCCUGGUGUGGCAGAUGAAACAAUGCUGCAGGUUUCUUAAAAUAAAACAAACCCAGCUAAAUAAACGGUUUACGCUGUAGUCGAUUGGCAAGUGACCUGCGGUGAGUGGGCCCUCCCCCGUCAUCAAAGACAUGUGGCCAUCGUGGAAGAGUAGGCCAAAUUACUCCGGGAGAAGAACCCUAGAAGUCCUGGAGGCCCUUCUGCCAGCAGUUUCGAUUUCAGUUUCAUUGAUUAAGUAAUAGCCCUGUGAGCUAUGCGGCUCUUGAAUCGGGUGCAACCACAACAAAACAAAAACAUGAACAAGAAAACAUCUUUGAGGUGACUACGCGCAAACAGAAUAAUCCUGGAAAAAAACCGGCAAAGUCUUUCAGAAGAAGCACCGUACACCAACGCUGUGUGCAAAAAUCCCAGUGGGAUGCAAGUCAAACAAUAGCAACCAUAAGACAAUUUAGAUUAAAGUUAUCGGUCUAACUCUGCACGACAACAAACAAACGUUUUCGAAAUUACCAAAAUAAAGCUAUAAAAACAAUGUAACAGUGACGUGGGCAAGACAUUUGCAAGGCCUGCACCUUUACAAUCUACGGCCAAUCGACUGCUGGAUGAAAGGUCUCCCCCCGAAGGCAUUUUGAUCGUGAGAGUCGUUUGACCAUACUUCACCACCCUGGUUGGUGACGUGGGGUGGGUACGAGCAGCAGAGUUGCAAUCGUCACGUGAUUUAAUUAAGGGGACAGUCUUAAAGCGUGUGCUCUGCAUUGUUAUUGGCGCAAUCUUUGUGACAGAGAUCCGUUUAUAAAACGCAUUGAAUUGAUUUCGGGAUGGGUUGGAGCGGUGGGGCGUGACCCGAGGUCAAUUUACUGGCCAUCUGUGACAAAGAGCUUCAUAGCUCAUCGUGAUUCCUCCAGUAUAAAUAAAUAUUCAGAUUCUGAUUCGAUUCUCGGCCAUGGCUGACAUCGGCGGUGAGUCUCGGUGAUAUCCGGUCUUCGGCACCCUCUUCGUCAUCCUUGCGCUGACCAGCGUGGUGGAGUAUGGUCAAACAGCCCGCCACGACUGUAAUCGUAUGGAGAAGCCGCCUUGCAGCAGUCGAGCUACAGAAUGACGGUGAGUUGAUUAGCAUGAUUCAAUUGAGUUAGUUUCACGCUUGGCGCAUCGAUCGCGCCAAGCGUGGGUGUCUGCGUCUUUGACCAGACAAUCGCAGUGCCACCUGCAAGUCGGCGCCGCGUUCAUUUCCAGGAAAUGCCCUGCAGGAUUGGAGUACAGGUUGGCAGAGUUGUCAGAGUCAGAUGGUGCUUUGUUAAACGGGGUUCUCGAGCUGCGUGUGUAUCUUGCGGAUUAAAAAAUAAACAUUAAAUAAGAGAGACCCCCCCCCCCUCCCUCCCCGUAUGAAACUGUCUUUUUUAGGUGCAAUACAUUUCUAUAACACAUAGGAUAUGUAUUUUAGAAGGAUAUGUAUUUUUGAAAUGUUGUGAAGCGGUGUGUAGUGAUUUGAACCCCCAGGCUACCCGAGUUUGAUUUCCAGCCACGGCGAACAUCAGCGGCGAGCGAUAUCCAAACCGGCCCUGUUUAUCCCACUUCAUCCAACGUUACCGGCCAGGAUUUGGCAGUAGAGGGUCAAACAACGCCCAUAACUGACACUUCUUGGACAGGACUUCGUCCGGCAGUGAAAAUGAAAACAUUGUUUGACACAUUUAGGGUGUUUCCCACCAAAGGUAUUUAAUGAAUGUGUCAUGGUAA